rnacentral:rRNA from 1 species
AGUGAACGCUGGCGGCAGGCCUAACACAUGCAAGUCGAACGGCAGCACAGGGGAGCUUGCUCCCUGGGUGGCGAGUGGCGGACGGGUGAGGAAUACAUCGGAAUCUACCCUGUCGUGGGGGAUAACGUAGGGAAACUUACGCUAAUACCGCAUACGACCUUCGGGUGAAAGCCGGGGACCUUCGGGCCUGGCGCGAUUGGAUGAGCCCAUGUCGGAUUAGCUAGUUGGCGGGGUAAAGGCCCACCAAGGCGACGAUACGUAGCUGGUCUGAGAGGAUGAUCAGCCACACUGGAACUGAGACACGGUCCAGACUCCUACGGGAGGCAGCAGUAGGGAAUAUUGGACAAUGGGCGCAAGCCUGAUCCAGCCAUGCCGCGUGAGUGAAGAAGGCCUUCGGGUUGUAAAGCUCUUUUGUCCGGAAAGAAAAGCAUCCAGUUAAUACCUGGGUGUCCUGACGGUACCGGAAGAAUAAGCACCGGCUAACUUCGUGCCAGCAGCCGCCGUAA